UAGGGAAUCUUCGGCAAUGGACGGAAGUCUGACCGAGCAACGCCGCGUGAGUGAAGAAGGUUUUCGGAUCGUAAAGCUCUGUUGUAAGAGAAGAACGAGUGUGAGAGUGGAAAGUUCACACUGUGACGGUAUCUUACCAGAAAGGGACGGCUAACUACGUGCCAGCAGCCGCGGUAAUACGUAGGUCCCGAGCGUUGUCCGGAUUUAUUGGGCGUAAAGCGAGCGCAGGCGGUUAGAUAAGUCUGAAGUUAAAGGCCGUGGCUUAACCAUAGUAGGCUUUGGAAACUGUUUAACUUGAGUGCAAGAGGGGAGAGUGGAAUUCCAUGUGUAGCGGUGAAAUGCGUAGAUAUAUGGAGGAACACCGGUGGCGAAAGCGGCUCUCUGGCUUGUAACUGACGCUGAGGCUCGAAAGCGUGGGGAGCAAACAGGAUUAGAUACCCUGGUAGUCCACGCUGUAAACGAUGAGUGCUAGGUGUUAGACCCUUUCCGGGGUUUAGUGCCGUAGCUAACGCAUUAAGCACUCCGCCUGGGGAGUACGACCGCAAGGUUG
rnacentral:rRNA from 1 species